CCUACGGGUGGCAGCAGUGAGGAAUAUUGGUCAAUGGACGAGAGUCUGAACCAGCCAAGUAGCGUGAAGGAUGACUGCCCUAUGGGUUGUAAACUUCUUUUAUAUGGGAAUAAAACAGGGUAUGCAUACCCUCUUGUAUGUACCAUAUGAAUAAGGAUCGGCUAACUCCGUGCCAGCAGCCGCGGUAAUACGGAGGAUCCGAGCGUUAUCCGGAUUUAUUGGGUUUAAAGGGAGCGUAGGUGGGUUGUUAAGUCAGGUGUGAAAGUUUGCGGCUCAACCGUAAAAUUGCAGUUGAAACUGGCAGUCGUGAGUACAGUAGAGGUGGGCGGAAUGCGGGGUGUAGCGGUGAAAGGCUUAGAUAGCACGAAGAACUCCGAUUGCGAAGGCAGCUCACUGGACUGCAACUGACACUGAUGCUCGAAAGUGUGGGUAUCAAACAGGAUUAGAUACCCCAGUAGUC
rnacentral:rRNA from 1 species